rnacentral:rRNA from 1 species
AACAGGAUUAGAUACCCUGGUAGUCCACGCCGUAAACGAUGUCGACUUGGAGGCUGUUCCCUUGAGGAGUGGCUUCCGGAGCUAACGCGUUAAGUCGACCGCCUGGGGAGUACGGCCGCAAGGUUAAAACUCAAAUGAAUUGACGCGGGCCCGCACAAGCGGUGGAGCAUGUGGUUUAAUCCGAUGCAACGCGAAGAACCUUACCUACUCUUGACAUCCAGAGAAUUUAGCAGAGAUGCUUUAGUGCCUUCGGGAACUCUGAGACAGGUGCUGCAUGGCUGUCGUCAGCUCGUGUUGUGAAAUGUUGGGUUAAGUCCCGCAACGAGCGCAACCCUUAUCCUUUGUUGCCAGCGCGUAAUGGCGGGAACUCAAAGGAGACUGCCGGUGAUAAACCGGAGGAAGGUGGGGAUGACGUCAAGUCAUCAUGGCCCUUACGAGUAGGGCUACACACGUGCUACAAUGGCGCAUACAAAGAGAAGCGACCUCGCGAGAGCAAGCGGACCUCAUAAAGUGCGUCGUAGUCCGGAUUGGAGUCUGCAACUCGACUCCAUGAAGUCGGAAUCGCUAGUAAUCGUAAAUCAGAAUGUUACGGUGAAUACGUUCCCGGGCCUUGUACACACCGCCCGUCACACCAUGGGAGUGGGUUGCAAAAGAAGUAGAUAGCUUAACCUUCGGGAGGGCGUUUACCACUUUGUGAUUCAUGACUGGGGUGAAGUCGUAACAAGGUAACCGUAGGGGAACCUGCGGCUGGAUCACCUCCUU